rnacentral:rRNA from 1 species
UAGGGAAUCUUCGGCAAUGGACGGAAGUCUGACCGAGCAACGCCGCGUGAGUGAAGAAGGUUUUCGGAUCGUAAAGCUCUGUUGUAAGAGAAGAACGAGUGUGAGAGUGGAAAGUUCACACUGUGACGGUAUCUUACCAGAAAGGGACGGCUAACUACGUGCCAGCAGCCGCGGUAAUACGUAGGUCCCGAGCGUUGUCCGGAUUUAUUGGGCGUAAAGCGAGCGCAGGCGGUUAGAUAAGUCUGAAGUUAAAGGCUGUGGCUUAACCAUAGUACGCUUUGGAAACUGUUUAACUUGAGUGCAAGAGGGGAGAGUGGAAUUCCAUGUGUAGCGGUGAAAUGCGUAGAUAUAUGGAGGAACACCGGUGGCGAAAGCGGCUCUCUGGCUUGUAACUGACGCUGAGGCUCGAAAGCGUGGGAAGCAAACAGGAUUAGAUACCCUGGUAGUCCACGCCGUAAACGAUGUAUACUAGUUGUUGCUUCGCUAGUCGAGGCAGUAAUGCACCUAACGGAUUAAGUAUACCGCCUGGGGAGUACGGUCGCAAGAUUA